rnacentral:rRNA from 1 species
AGCAGCCGCGGUAAUUCCAGCUCCAAUAGCGUAUAUUAAAGUUGUUGCAGUUAAAAAGCUCGUAGUUGAAUUUCGGGGUUAGUAAGUUGGUCAUGCCUCUGGUAUGCACUGGCUUUACUGAUUCCUCCUUCUUGAUGAACUGUAAUGUCAUUAAUUUGGUGUUGCAGGGAAUCAGGACUGUUACUUUGAAAAAAUUAGAGUGUUUAAAGCAGGCAUACGCUUGAAUACAUUAGCAUGGAAUAAUGAAAUAGGACGUUUGAUCCUAUUUUGUUGGUUUCUAGGAUUGACGUAAUGAUUAAUAGGGAUAGUUGGGGGCAUUAGUAUUCAAUUGUCAGAGGUGAAAUUCUUGGAUUUAUUGAAGACUAACUACUGCGAAAGCAUUUGCCAAGGAUGUUUUCAUUAAUCAAGAACGAAAGUUAGGGGAUCGAAGACGAUCAGAUACCGUCGUAGUCUUAACCAUAAACUAUGCCGACUAGGGAUCGGAUGAUGUUAUUUUUAAUGACUCA